rnacentral:rRNA from 1 species
GAUGAACGCUGGCGGCGUGCCUAACACAUGCAAGUCGAGCGAAGCACUUUGCUUAGAUUCUUCGGAUGAAGAGGAUUGUGACUGAGCGGCGGACGGGUGAGUAACGCGUGGGUAACCUGCCUCAUACAGGGGGAUAACAGUUAGACAUGACUGCUAAUACCGCAUAAGACCACAGCACCGCAUGGUGCGGGGGUAAAAACUCCGGUGGUAUGAGAUGGACCCGCGUCUGAUUAGCUAGUUGGUAAGGUAACGGCUUACCAAGGCGACGAUCAGUAGCCGACCUGAGAGGGUGACCGGCCACAUUGGGACUGAGACACGGCCCAAACUCCUACGGGAGGCAGCAGUGGGGAAUAUUGCACAAUGGGGGAAACCCUGAUGCAGCGACGCCGCGUGAGCGAAGAAGUAUUUCGGUAUGUAAAGCUCUAUCAGCAGGGAAGAAAAUGACGGUACCUGACUAAGAAGCACCGGCUAAAUACGUGCCAGCAGCCGCGGUAAUACGUAUGGUGCAAGCGUUAUCCGGAUUUACUGGGUGUAAAGGGAGCGUAGACGGAUGGGCAAGUCUGAUGUGAAAACCCGGGGCUCAACCCCGGGACUGCAUUGGAAACUGUUCAUCUAGAGUGCUGGAGAGGUAAGUGGAAUUCCUAGUGUAGCGGUGAAAUGCGUAGAUAUUAGGAGGAACACCAGUGGCGAAGGCGGCUUACUGGACAGUAACUGACGUUGAGGCUCGAAAGCGUGGGGAGCAAACAGG